rnacentral:rRNA from 1 species
AACGUAGGAGACAAACGUUAUCCGGAGUUACUGGGCGUAAAGGGCGUGUAGGCGGUUCGUUAAGUCUGGCGUGAAAGCUCUCGGCUAAACCGGGAGAGGUCGUUGGAUACUGGCAAACUAGAGGACGGUAGAGGCGUGUGGAAUUCCGGGUGUAGUGGUGAAAUGCGUAGAGAUGUGGAGGAACACCGAUGGCGAAGGCAGCCUCCUGGGCCAACACUGACGCUCAUGCACGAAAGCGUGGGGAGCAAACAGG